AGUCCAUGGUGUGGGCAUUACAAUAAAAGUGAAUUGAAGCGAUCACAUGCUUCAUGAAAAGAUUCAGCAUCCUCUUGAUAAAAAUUAGAAAUUUCAGCUCUUAAUUCU
rfam:Ricinus communis cultivar Hale ctg_1100012360070, whole genome shotgun sequence.